UACAGAGGCCUCGAGCGUUGUUCGGAUUUACUGGGCGUAAAGGGAAUGUAGGCGGUAGCGUAAGUCAGAUGUGAAAGCCCUAGGCUUAACCUGGGAAAUGCAUUUGAUACUGUGCUGCUAGAGUGCGAGAGAGGAAAGUGGAAUUCCAGGUGUAGGGGUGAAAUCCGUAGAUAUCUGGAGGAAUACCAAUGGCGAAGGCAGCUUUCUGGCUCGUAACUGACGCUGAGAUUCGAAAGCGUGGGUAGCAAACAGG
rnacentral:rRNA from 1 species